rnacentral:sRNA from 1 species
GCGCCUGCGAUGGAGGCAGCCUUGACAUUCAUUUCUCGGUUUUGCAGGCAACCUGACAAGGUACCCUCUCGUCUCGUGGCAAUGUGCCACGUCAAAAUUUUCC